rnacentral:rRNA from 1 species
GCAAAUCAAUAUAAAUUGAUUUUUAAAUAUAAUUUAUUUAUUAAUUUUUUUUUUUUAUUAUUAUAAUUUAUUAAAAAUAAUUAUAUAAUUUUAAUGUUUUAGUAAUUUUUAGUGAAAAAAUAAUAUUUAUAAUAGUUAAAUAUGUAUUGUGAAAGAAUAUUGAAAUAUUUUGAAAAAUUUUUAUUAUAUAAGAAAAUUUUUUUUAUUGUACCUUGUGUAUCAGGGUUUAUUAAAUAAUUAAUAUGUAUGAUUUAUUAAUCUCGAUUUUAUAAGAGUUAAUAAUUUAUGAAAGUUAAUGUAUAAAAAUUAUUUUAAAUAAAUUAUUAGAAAUGAAAUGUUAUUCGUUUAUAAAGGUAUCUAGUUUUUUUAGAAAUAAAUUUAAUUUAUAAUUUUUUAAUUUUUUAUUUAUUUAUUAAAAUAAAAAAUUUAUUUAAUUGAAUAAUUUAAGGGAUAAGCUUUAAAUUAAAUUUUUAAAAAUUAAUAAUUUAUUUAUAAAAUGUAUGUGUAGAAUUAGCAAUCAUUUGCAAAUUUGUUAUAAAUUAUUUUAUAUAAUUUAUAUUAUUUAUUAGUAUUUUAAAUUUUUAUAAAAUUUUUUUUUUUAAUAUUAAUAUAAAAAUUAAUAAUGAUAAAAUUAGUAUAUUUUAUUGUUUAUAUAAUUUAAUUAUGAUAAGUUUAUAUAAAGAAUUCGGCAAAUUUUUUAUACUCGCCUGUUUAACAAAAACAUGUCUUUUAGAGUUAAUUUUAAAGUCUAACCUGCCCACUGAAUUUAUUUAGAUGGCCGCAGUAUUUUAACUGUGCAAAGGUAGCAUAAUCAUUAGUCUUUUAAUUGAAGGCUGGAAUGAAUGGUUGGACGAAGUAUAAGCUGUUUCAUAUAAAUUUAUAAUAGAAUUUUAUAUUUUAGUUAAAAAGCUAAAAUUUAAUUAAAAGACGAGAAGACCCUAUAAAUCUUUAUAUUUUAUAUUAAUUAAAUUUUAUUGAUAAAUUUUAUUUUUUUAAUAUAAAAUAUUUUGUUGGGGUGAUAUUAAAAUUUAAUUAACUUUUAAUUUAAUUAAAUCAUUAAUUUAUGAUAAAUUGAUCCGUUAAUAACGAUUAUAAGAUUAAGUUACUUUAGGGAUAACAGCGUAAUUUUUUUGGAGAGUUCAUAUCAAUAGAAAAGUUUGCGACCUCGAUGUUGGAUUAAGAGAUAUUUUUAGGUGCAGCUGCUUAAAUAUAAAGUCUGUUCGACUUU